rnacentral:rRNA from 1 species
GAGUUUGAUCAUGGCUCAGGACGAACGCUUGCGGCGUGCCUAAGAAAUGCAAGUCGAACGGAUUAGCCAGCAAUGGUUAGUUAGUGGCGAACGGUCGCGUAACACGUAAGCAACCUGCCUCGAAGUUGGGGAUAACAGCCCGAAAGGGCUGCUAAUACCGAAUGUGGUCUAUUUUUGGCAUCAUGAGUAGACUAAAGAUUUAUCGCUUCGAGAUGGGCUUGCGGCCUAUCAGGUAGUUGGUGGGGUAACGGCCUACCAAGCCGACGACGGGUAGCUGGUCUGAGAGGACGAUCAGCCGGAUUGGGACUGAGAUACGGCCCAGACUCCUACGGGGGGCAGCAAUUAGGAAUCUUGCACAAUGGGGGAAACCCUGAUGCAGCGACGCCGCGUGAAGGAUGAAGCAUCUCGGUGUGUAAACUUCUUUUGACAGGGAAGAACAAAUGACGGUACCUGUCGAAUAAG